rnacentral:rRNA from 1 species
GUGGGGAAUAUUGGACAAUGGGCGAAAGCCUGAUCCAGCAAUGCCGCGUGAGUGAUGAAGGCCUUAGGGUUGUAAAGCUCUUUUACCCGGGAAGAUAAUGACUGUACCGGGAGAAUAAGCCCCGGCUAACUCCGUGCCAGCAGCCGCGGUAAUACGGAGGGGGCUAGCGUUGUUCGGAAUUACUGGGCGUAAAGCGCACGUAGGCGGUUUUGUAAGUUAGAGGUGAAAGCCUGGGGCUCAACCCCAGAAUUGCCUUUAAGACUGCAUCACUUGAACGUCGGAGAGGUGAGUGGAAUUCCGAGUGUAGAGGUGAAAUUCGUAGAUAUUCGGAAGAACACCAGUGGCGAAGGCGGCUCACUGGACGACUGUUGACGCUGAGGUGCGAAAGCGUGGGGAGCAAACAGGAUUAGAUACCCUUGUAGUCC